GCGUGCCUAAUACAUGCAAGUCCCACGCACAGCGAAAGGUGCUUGCACCUUUCAAGUGAGUGGCGAACGGGUGAGUAACACGUGGAUAACCUACCUCAAGGUUGGGGAUAACAUUUGGAAACAGAUGCUAAUACCGAAUAAAACUUCGUAUCGCAUGAUACAAGGUUAAAAGGCGCUACGGCGUCACCUAGAGAUGGAUCCGCGGUGCAUUAUUUAGUUGGUGGGGUAAAGGCCUACCAAGACAAUGAUGCAUAGCCGAGUUGAGAGACUGAUCAGCCACAUUGGGACUGAGACACGGCCCAAACUCCUACGGGAGGCUGCAGUAGGGAAUCUUCCACAAUGGGCGAAAGCCUGAUGGAGCAACGCCGCGUGUGUGAUGAAGGCUUUCGGGUCGUAAAGCACUGUUGUAUGGGAAGAACAGCUAGAGUAGGGAAUGACUUUAGUUUGACGGUACCAUACCAGAAAGGGACGGCUAAAUACGUGCCAGCAGCCGCGGUAAUACGUAUGUCCCGAGCGUUAUCCGGAUUUAUUGGGCGUAAAGCGAGCGCAGACGGUUGAUUAAGUCUGAUGUGAAAGCCCGGAGCUCAACUCCGGAAAGGCAUUGGAAACUGGUCAACUUGAGUGCAGUAGAGGUAAGUGGAACUCCAUGUGUAGCGGUGGAAUGCGUAAAUAUAUGGAAGAACACCAGCGGCGAAGGCGGCUUACUGGACU
rnacentral:rRNA from 1 species